rnacentral:rRNA from 1 species
ACGAACGCUGGCGGCGUGCUUAACACAUGCAAGUCGAACGGAAAGGCCCUUUCGGGGGUACUCGAGUGGCGAACGGGUGAGUAACACGUGGGUAACCUGCCCCUUGCUUCGGGAUAACUCCGGGAAACCGGGGCUAAUACCGGAUAUUCAUUGCUGUCCGCAUGGGUGGUGGUGGACAGUUUUUCGGCUGGGGAUGGGCCCGCGGCCUAUCAGCUUGUUGGUGGGGUGAUGGCCUACCAAGGCUUCGACGGGUAGCCAGCCUGAGAGGGCGACCGGCCACACUGGGACUGAGACACGGCCCAGACUCCUACGGGAGGCAGCAGUGGGGAAUAUUGCGCAAUGGGCGGAAGCCUGACGCAGCGACGCCGCGUGAGGGAUGACGGCCUUCGGGUUGUAAACCUCUUUCAGCAGGGACGAAUUUGACGGUACCUGUAGAAGAAGCACCGGCCAACUACGU